GAUGAACGCUAGCUGCAGGCCUAACACAUGCAAGUCGAGGGACCGGCGCACGGGUGAGUAACACGUAUCCAACCCGCCCUGUACUCGGGGAUAGCCUUUCGCAAGAAAGAUUAAUACCCGAUAUAAAGGAUGGGGAUGCGUUUCAUUAGGUUGUUGGUGAGGUAACGGCUCACCAAGCCUUCGAUGGAUAGGGGUUCUGAGAGGAAGGUCCCCCAGAUUGGAGCUGAGGCCCAGACCAAACUCCGACGCGGCGCAGGAGUGAGGAGUAUUGGUCAAGGGGCGGUAGCCUGAACCAGCCAAGUAGCGGGAAGGAGGAAGGCUUAGGGGUCUUAAACUUCUGUUAUGUAAGAAUAUGUAUUAUAUGAAGAAGGAUCGGCUAACUCCGUGCCAGCAGCCGCGGUAAUUC
rnacentral:rRNA from 1 species